GAUGAACGCUAGCUACAGGCUUAACACAUGCAAGUCGAGGGGAAACGAUAUUGGAAGCUUGCUUCCGAUAGGCGUCGACCGGCGCACGGGUGAGUAACGCGUAUCCAACCUGCCCACCACUUGGGGAUAACCUUGCGAAAGUAAGACUAAUACCCAAUGAUAUCUCUAGAAGACGUCUGAAGGAGAUUAAAGAUUUAUCGGUGAUGGAUGGGGAUGCGUCUGAUUAGCUUGUUGGCGGGGUAACGGCCCACCAAGGCGACGAUCAGUAGGGGUUCUGAGAGGAAGGUCCCCCACAUUGGAACUGAGACACGGUCCAAACUCCUACGGGAGGCAGCAGUGAGGAAUAUUGGUCAAUGGGCGAGAGCCUGAACCAGCCAAGUAGCGUGCAGGAUGACGGCCCUAUGGGUUGUAAACUGCUUUUAUAAGGGAAUAAAGUGAGCCUCGUGAGGCUUUUUGCAUGUACCUUAUGAAUAAGGACCGGCUAAUUCCGUGCCAGCCGCCGCAGUAA
rnacentral:rRNA from 1 species